AUCUCUAUUGAAGCAAGAAGACCCCCUGAAUUUAAGCAUAUAAUUAAGGGGAGGAAAAGAAACCAACUCGGAUUCCCCUAGUAAUGGCGAGUGAAGCGGGAAGAGCUCAUGUUGUAAAUCUCCAGCUUGCUGGCGAAUUGUAGUCUAAAGGUGCGUGCUCAGUCGUGGUCCCGGGCUAAGUCUGUUGGAAAACAGCAUCAUGGACGGUGACAAUCCGGUUCUUGCCUGGGGUCCCGCGGCGUACGAGCCGUUUCCGACGAGUCGUGUUGCUUGGGAUUGCAGCACUAAGUGGGUGGUAAAUUCCAUCUAAAGCUAAAUAUUGGUGGGAGACCGAUAGCGAACAAGUACCGUGAGGGAAAGAUGAAAAGACUUUUGAAAAGAGAGUAAAAUAGUACCUGAAACUGCUGAAAGGGAAGCGAUUGAAGUCAGUGUUGCUCCUGGUCUUUUUGCCGUCGCCCCCGUGGGGGUUGCGGCGUGGGGCCUGGAGCGUUUCAACAUGCGUUCUGUUCCGCGGGAAAUGUUCAGUGUGCUGGAACCUUCGGGGAAACGCACUGUUCUUGUCGUGGUUAGGACGGAGGACCUUUGCUCCUUUGACUGCGCGUUCCUCUCUCGGGUAUGCUGGUGUCUACUGCUUGCAGUUUUCAUUUUCAUGCUUGCGACUGUGCGUGUUAUUCAUGAGCGAACAUGAUGUUGAAGAAAUGGCUUUAAUUACCCCGUCUUGAAACACGGACCAAGGAGUCUAACAUACGUGCGAGUACUAUGGUGGCAAACCAUUGUGCGCAAUGAAAGUGAAGGCUGGCUUCCGUCAGCUGAGGUGGGAUCCGCAAGGAGCACCAUCGACCGACCAUGUCCCUUCGGGGUAAAGGUUUGAGUGUGAGCAUUUAUGUUGGGACCCGAAAGAUGGUGAACUAUGCCUGAAUAGGGCGAAGCCAGGGGAAACUCUGGUGGAGGCUCGUAGCGAUUCUGACGUGCAAAUCGAUCGUCAAAUUUGGGUAUAGGGGCGAAAGACUAAUCGAACCAUCUAGUAGCUGGUUCCCUCCGAAAUUUCCCUUAGGAUAGCUGCAACCGGUUAAGAGUUUUAUCAGGUAAAGCGAAUGAUUAGAGGAUUCGGGGACGGAAUGUCCUCGACCUAUUCUCAAACUUUAAAUGGGUAAGAACCCGGGGUUGCUUAAUUGAACCCUGCGGUCGAAUCUCGGUUGCUAGUGGGCCAGUCCGGGUAAGCUGGACUGGCGAUGCGGGAUGAUCCGAACGCUGAGUUAAAGUGCCUAACUGCUCGCUCACCUAGAUCCCACAAAAGGUGUUGGUUCAUCCAGACAGCAGGACGGUGGCCAUGGAAGUCGGAAUCCGCUAAGGAGUGUGUAACAACUCACCUGCCGAAUGAACUAGCCCUGAAAAUGGAUGGCGCUAAAGCGUGCGACUUAUACUCAGCCAUCAGCGCGAGACGUAUGUGCUGAUGAGUAGGAGGGCGUGAUGCUCGUAUCGAAGCCUUGGGCGUGAGCCUGGGUGAAACGUGCAUUAGUGCAGAUCUUGGUGGUAGUAGCAACUAUUCAAAUGAGAACUUUGAAGACUGAAGCGGAGAAAGGUUCCAUGUGAACAGCAAUUGGACAUGGGUUAGUCGAUCCUAAGGCUCAGAGUAACUCCGUUAUAAGGCGGGCUUUUUUCGGAAAGCCCCGGUGGCCGAAAGGGAAGAAGGUUAAAAUUCCUUCACCUGGACGUGGAUAACGAGUGGUAACACAAGCAAAACUGGAGACGUCGGCUGGAGUCCCGGGAAGAGUUCUCUUUUCUUGUUAACAGUUCCGCAGGCCCUGGAAUCGGAUUAUCCGGCGAUAGGGUCUGGUGGCUGGGAAAGCAGCUUAAUCUUUGAGCUGUCCGGUGCUCUCCAGACGGCCCUUGAAAAUCCGGUGGCGUGACUUAUUUACACCCCAGGUCGUACUCAUAACCGCAUCAGGUCUCCAAGGUGAGUAGCCUCUAGUCGAUAGAGUAAUGUGGAUAAGGGAAGUCGGCAAAAUAGAUCCGUAACCUCGGGAAAAGGAUUGGCUCUGAGGGUUGGGCCUAGGGGUCUUGGGAACGAAGGAGUAACCUGUGGGCUGUGGCUGCGUAUCUUCACGGAAGCGCGGCUUGGCACGCUGGCCUCUAGAGGGCCCGAGGACGCCUUGUACUUGUACUUGGCUUUCCCUAGUGCGUGGAACAACCAACUCAGAACUGGAGCGGACAAGGGGAAUCCGACUGUUUAAUUAAAACAAAGCAUUGCGAAGGUCGGAGACGAUGUUGACGCAAUGUGAUUUCUGCCCAGUGCUCUGAAUGUCAAAGUGAAGAAAUUCAACCAAGCGCGGGUAAACGGCGGGAGUAACUAUGACUCUCUUAAGGUAGCCAAAUGCCUCGUCAUCUAA
rnacentral:rRNA from 1 species